rfam:Myotis lucifugus cont2.11756, whole genome shotgun sequence.
GGCAGUUCUCGGGUGAUGCACCCUGGAAUCAGGCUCCCUACUCUCGGCUCCCUACUCUCUGGUUCUGGUGCGUCACCCGAAAACCGCA